CUGGGCUCGAACGGCUUAAGAUCGACUGUAGAAAUAUGGUUUUCCCGCAAGGGACUUGAGUCGAGGUGCUGCAUGGCUGUCGUCAGCUCGUGUGGUGACAUGUUGGGUUAAGUCCCGCAACGAGCGCAACCCUUGUCCUUAGUUGCCAGCAUUCAGUUGGGCUCUCUAAGGAGACUGCCGUGGUUAACACGGAGGAAGGUGGGGAUGACGUCAAGUCCUCAUGGCCUUUAUAUCCAGGGCUACACACGUGCUACAAUGGCCGAUACAGAGGGAAGCUAAGCCGUGAGGUGGAGCAAAUCCUUAAAGUCGGCCCCAGUUCGGAUUGUAGUCUGCAACUCGACUACAUGAAGUUGGAAUUGCUAGUAAUGGCGAGUCAGCAACAUCGCCGUGAAUACGUUCCC
rnacentral:rRNA from 1 species